CCCUCAUAUUUAUUUGGUGUUUUCUAGAUAAAGGUGAUAGUAAUGUUGUCAGUACCUGGUGAUGAGUAAUAUCUGUGUACAGAAUUCAUUGUUUCACUAUUUAUCAAGAUGAUAGC